GUAGGCCACUCGUAGUAGGAGUUCGACUGAAAUCCGAUUCUCAUAGGAGCUCAGAUGGAAUUCGAAAGGCGGUCGAUCAUCAUAGAAACUUGGAUGGAGUUUGGUUACUGUAGAAAUCUCACCGUCGGAGAAGCUCAGAUAUUGACAAAGUUUGGAAGAAGUUCGAAGUAGGGUCGUCCACGGUCGGAAGAAGUCUGGAAGGGAUUCGAAGAAUAGUUGAUCACUGUAGAAGGUCGGCUAAUAGUGAAACCUAGAGAGCCUUUGGAGCGGCCC
rnacentral:lncRNA from 1 species